rnacentral:rRNA from 1 species
CCCUACGGGGGGCAGCAGUGAGGAAUAUUGGUCAAUGGGCGAGAGACUGAACCAGCCAAGCCGCGUGAGGGAUGAAGGUACAGAGUAUUGUAAACCUCUUUUGUCAGGGAACAAAGCCGGGGACGUGUCCCCGGCUGAGUGUAUCUGAAGAAAAAGCAUCGGCUAACUCCGUGCCAGCAGCCGCGGUAAUACGGAGGAUGCGAGCGUUAUCCGGAUUUAUUGGGUUUAAAGGGUGCGCAGGCGGUCUGUUAAGUCAGCGGUCAAAUUCCGGGGUUCAACCCCGGCCCGCCGUUGAAACUGGCAGU